rnacentral:rRNA from 1 species
AACGACUCUCGGCAACGGAUAUCUCGGCUCUCGCAUCGAUGAAGAACGUAGCGAAAUGCGAUACUUGGUGUGAAUUGCAGAAUCCCGUGAACCAUCGAGUUUUUGAACGCAAGUUGCGCCCCAAGCCUUCGGGCGGAGGGCACGCUUGCCUGGGCGUCACGC